UACCCGCAGCCCAAGUGGUGGUCGAUAUUAUUGAGUCUAAAACGUUCGUAGCCGGUCCGGUAAAUCCCUGGGUAAAUCGGUCAGCUUAACUGACCGACUUCCGGGGAGACUGCCGGACUUGGGACCGGGAGAGGCUAGAGGUACUUCUGGGGUAGGGGUAAAAUCCUGUAAUCCUAGGAGGACCACCGGUGGCGAAGGCGUCUAGCUAGAACGGAUCCGACGGUGAGGGACGAAGCCCUGGGUCGCAAACGGG
rnacentral:rRNA from 1 species